GACGAACGCUGGCGGCGUGCUUAACACAUGCAAGUCGAACGAUGAAGCUAGAGCUUGCUCUGGUGGAUUAGUGGCGAACGGGUGAGUAACACGUGAGUAACCUGCCCCGAACUCUGGGAUAACUGCUGGAAACGGUAGCUAAUACUGGAUACGACCUACGAAGGCAUCUUCUGUAGGUGGAAAGAAUUUCGGUUCGGGAUGGACUCGCGGUGUAUCAGCUUGUUGGUGAGGUGAUGGUUCACCAAGGCGACGACGGGUAGCCGGGCUGAGAGGGUGACCGGCCACACUGUGACUGAGACACGGCCCAGACUCCUACGGGAGGCAGCAGUGGGGAAUAUUGCACAAUGGGCGCAAGCCUGAUGCAGCAACGCCGCGUGAGGGAUGACGGCCUUCGGGUUGUAAUCCUCUUUUAGUAGGGAAGAAGCGAAAGUGACGGUACCUGCAGAAAAAGCACCGGCUAACUACGUGCCAGCAGCCGCCGUAA
rnacentral:rRNA from 1 species